rnacentral:rRNA from 1 species
AGUCAAUAGAUACCCGGUAGUCCUAGCCUUAAACGUUGGGUACUGAGUAGAAAGGGGGACCGAUACCCCCUUCUGCUGGAGCGAAAAAGUGUUAAAGUACCCCGCCUGGGGAGUAUGGUCGCAAGGCUGAAACUCAAAGGAAUUUAGACGGGGGGCUCACACCCGAGCGGUGGAGCAUGUGGCUUAAUUCGAGGCUACGCGAAGAACCUUAUCCUAGGCUUGACAUGUACGGAUUAACCCUCUGAAAGGAGGGGGACGAGCGGGAAACCGCCGGAACGUAUACACGUGGCUGCAUGGCGUGUCGUCAGCUCGUGUCGUGAGAUGUCGGGUU